rnacentral:rRNA from 1 species
UACGGGAGGCAGCAGUGGGGAAUUUUGGACAAUGGGGGCAACCCUGAUCCAGCAAUGCCGCGUGUGUGAAGAAGGCCUUCGGGUUGUAAAGCACUUUUGUCCGGAAAGAAAACUUCUGCCCUAAUACGGUGGGAGGAUGACGGUACCGGAAGAAUAAGCACCGGCUAACUACGUGCCAGCAGCCGCGGUAAUACGUAGGGUGCAAGCGUUAAUCGGAAUUACUGGGCGUAAAGCGUGCGCAGGCGGUCCGCUAAGACAGAUGUGAAAUCCCCGGGCUUAACCUGGGAACUGCAUUUGUGACUGGCGGGCUAGAGUAUGGCAGAGGGGGGUAGAAUUCCACGUGUAGCAGUGAAAUGCGUAGAGAUGUGGAGGAAUACCGAUGGCGAAGGCAGCCCCCUGGGCCAAUACUGACGCUCAUGCACGAAAGCGUGGGGAGCAAACAGGAUUAGAUACCCUGGUAGUCCACGCCCUAAACGAUGUCAACUAGUUGUUGGGGAUUCAUUUCCUUAGUAACGAAGCUAACGC